UGGGGAAUAUUGGACAAUGGGCGCAAGCCUGAUCCAGCCAUGCCGCGUGAGUGAUGAAGGCCCUAGGGUUGUAAAGCUCUUUCACCGGUGAAGGUAAUGACGGUAACCGGAGAAGAAGCCCCGGCUAACUUCGUGCCAGCAGCCGCGGUAAUACGAAGGGGGCUAGCGUUGUUCGGAUUUACUGGGCGUAAAGCGCACGUAGGCGGACUUUUAAGUCAGGGGUGAAAUCCCGGGGCUCAACCCCGGAACUGCCUUUGAUACUGGAAGUCUUGAGUAUGGUAGAGGUGAGUGGAAUUCCGAGUGUAGAGGUGAAAUUCGUAGAUAUUCGGAGGAACACCAGUGGCGAAGGCGGCUCACUGGACCAUUACUGACGCUGAGGUGCGAAAGCGUGGGGAGCAAACAGG
rnacentral:rRNA from 1 species